CGAGUGGCGGACGGGUGAGUAAUGCUUGGGAACUUGCCUUUGCGAGGGGGAUAACAGUUGGAAACGACUGCUAAUACCGCAUAAUGUCUUCGGACCAAACGGGGCUUCGGCUCCGGCGCAAAGAGAGGCCCAAGUGAGAUUAGCUAGUUGGUAAGGUAACGGCUUACCAAGGCGACGAUCUCUAGCUGUUCUGAGAGGAAGAUCAGCCACACUGGGACUGAGACACGGCCCAGACUCCUACGGGAGGCAGCAGUGGGGAAUAUUGCACAAUGGGGGAAACCCUGAUGCAGCCAUGCCGCGUGUGUGAAGAAGGCCUUCGGGUUGUAAAGCACUUUCAGUUGUGAGGAAAAGUUAGUAGUUAAUACCUGCUAGCCGUGACGUUAACAACAGAAGAAGCACCGGCUAACUCCGUGCCAGCAGCCGCGGUAAUACGGAGGGUGCGAGCGUUAAUCGGAAUUACUGGGCGUAAAGCGCACGCAGGCGGUUUGUUAAGCUAGAUGUGAAAGCCCCGGGCUCAACCUGGGAUGGUCAUUUAGAACUGGCAGACUAGAGUCUUGGAGAGGGGAGUGGAAUUCCAGGUGUAGCGGUGAAAUGCGUAGAUAUCUGGAGGAACAUCAGUGGCGAAGGCGACUCCCUGGCCAAAGACUGACGCUCAUGUG
rnacentral:rRNA from 1 species